rnacentral:lncRNA from 1 species
GGAUCUUGGAGACCAUGGAUAUUUAGUUGAGGGAAGAUUUGAAACAACAAAAGAACGCACCUUGUCCAAAAGCAUACCAUACAAAUAUGUUGUCUACAAGGCCAAAAAGGAGAAAUAUGAGUAUGAAUACAUUUACAAAUUGGAUUCAGAGCAACCUACGAAUCGAUGCUUGUUUGUGAAGUCCGGACUCCUCAAUGAGGAAGGGGACUGGCAUCAGUAUGAUGACAUCAUCUGUACAGCACCAUCCAAGGAUAUAUUCAAACGCUUGAAAAACGCUUUUCGGUCUGAGCAAAGGAAAAGUGUCGUUGAAGGCAAAGAGAUUGCAGGGAACAUCAUGCUAGACACCAUAUUCGACCUCCUUCGGAAUUGGACCGACAUCAACUUGAAGAAUUUCCUCAUCCAAUUGAAACAGUUCUUUGACAUUUAUGCAAAUCCGUUUGUGUAUGAAGACACGCACAAGAGGUGGAACUCUCUAGAAUAUGGAGAAAAAGAAGUCCGGGUGUUGAUCAAGCAAUUCAUGCUGACAAAAGUGAUUCCUCAGUUGGAUAAAGACGGAGAUGGGAAGAUGGUUCUCUUCGUCAAAGAUCCCAUGAGGGCAGCAGUAAUCAUGCUGCAUGUGUGCCAUCAUUAUGGUAUCAAACUGAAUGCAGCAGAACAUAGUCGACUCUGCCAAGCCCUGUGCUUUCCAAAGCUCAACAAAGAAGAGUUUCUCCAGUAUUGGGACAAAUUGUCACAUAGUGUCUCUCGUCUUAAAGAGUAAGUAGUCUUAUUUUCAUAUCUUGAGCACUUCAUUUAAACUCAAAUGUAUCCUAUAAAAGGUUGUUAAUUUAAUUGGAGGGAUGGAUACAUUUUCAAUAACCUAGGAGGAAAUAUCUCCUGCAUUAAUAUGUGUUCUUGCUUUAGUACUUAUUGUACGGGAACCAUGACUGUUCUUUGUUUUAAUUUGUUCAGUCUGCCAAAUCUGCUGGUAUCGCUGAUACAUUUUAUGAGAGCGGAGAGACUACAUCGGUGGAUUUUGGUGCUUCCUCUUCUCCACCUCCUCCAGAGUACCUCCAAGCCUUUCCAUCCACUUCCUGUCUCCAAGCCUGACCUAUCUUGGACAGGUUUGGAGGGUACAGGAUUCAAACAAGCAGACUGCCACGGUCAGGAAAAACAGGCUUUACAAAACCUGAUGAGCCAUAAUAAACAUUUAGUGGAGAUUGACCCACUGACCGCCCGAUCCUGGAUGUGUCUGAUGUCCCUUGAUCAACUGGUUAAGUGCAGCCUCAUCACGAACACCCAGUUGUUGGACUUCCUUCAUAUCUUUUACGCAAAGACUCUCGACAUCACCUACAGCAAUAACGAGGUUGUAUCCGACAUUCUCUCGCAUGUUCAGCAGUGUCUUAUUGAGCACAAGUACAGUUCUUCUAGCAUAGUUUACGGCAGAGAGUGCGUCACAGCAGCGGUGAAAAUGCUGGAGAAGAUCUGCAAAAUGGUCAAACAUAGUCAGACCUUCGCGGAAAUUCCAGUGGCGUGCUUGAAUCUCGUCGCACUGGUUGCUGACUUCCGAGACCAGAACCAGGUGGCUCAAGAUGGGACAAAUGACGAGCAGUACGCAAAAGACCUGGAGCUGUUACACCAAGCAAUGACCAUCAUGAGAGACUGGAUCUGUCAGACCUUCAAGAAGACUUCCUUUCUUAAUUCCAACUUCCUCUCAGGCAAUAGUUCUGAGAAUGAAAUACAAAUGUGGGAAAAUGUCAUCACGCUCAAUUUAAAAAAUGAAGAUUUUAAAAUGGACUGGAGGAAGACGUUCACAGGGGAUUUGGAGGGCACAUUCCAGAAGGAAUCAGCGCAGGAUCAGAUUGAAUUCUACUGCUCAAAGACCGAAGUACUCAGUCGUUCUCAUCCAAACGUGGCUGCUGUUAUCGAGAAGUGUGCUUUAGAGGCGGUCACCUCACUGUGCGAGGCAAAGAAGGAGGGGACACUGUUUACAAAAUUUAAAAUCAACUGGAAUUUUGGAAAACUCAUUUCGGCCAUCAUUCAGAAGUCAUGGCCAAAGGACAGCCAAGGAAGGAAUCCGGAGGAAGAGGUUUUUAGACACAUCCUCUCUUGGACGGCUGCCAAAGAUGUUUUCAAACUACAUGGAGCAAAUGAGAAGCUGAUUGAGAAGCUCACAGAAGAGGCUAGAGAAAGAUUGGCGGUAGCAAUAUCUACUUUCACAGCCAUCACCGAUCAGCUGGUCAAGGGAAAAAUUAAGAUCAACCUACUCAAGUUCCUCUUGGAAAGACGGCACGCCUUCUUAGCAUUGCUGAGAAUCGAUUGUCUCGCAGAAGAUCCUGAGUAUCAGGACGAGGAUAGAAUGUGUACGUUGUUGAGGCAUAGAUACGAUGAGAUGAAAGCUGUGUACAAUGAAAAGGAUCUGGUCGAUGUCGUUGUGAAAAUGAGCCACAAACUGGAAGAACAUAUGACAGUUGAUAUCGGUAACCUGGAAGCAAGCCAACUGAGCAGCAUUGAGGCCAAGAGCCUUAACAAUUUCAUGGAGGUUCACACAUUCGACCCGCAGUCCCACCCCCCAAUGGCUGGUGUGGUGACGUACUACGAUCUUGACGAAGACAUCAGAGAAAUGGCUGUUGUCCUGAACACCCACAAAGACAGCUACUUGUUCAUAGGUUGCUGGGAAAAACAGGCAAGGCAAUAUGUAGACCCUGAGGUGCCUGGUGUUGCUGAUAUAAUGGCCACACCGAUCAUGAUACAUGAUGACAUAUUCCAGCCCUCUCAUGAUGAGUAUCAAAACAUAUAUCGUUGCCUGAUGGAUGGCAGCAUAAAGCUCAGGGAGGUUGACACACUCUUCAAAGAUUACACCGGGAAGUACAACGAACUUGAGAAGGACUUUGACAUAAUGUGCAGAGUGGACGUUUCAAAUGACAAACAGUGGAUCAAGCAGAGGGCUCUGCAGAUUCAGCAGUACCACGAACUCCAUCUUGCCGUGGAGUCGGCUAAAGCGAUCAUGCUUGUCAAGGAGACACUUGGUCUUCAAGGUGACUUCAGUAUCCUGCAGACAUUGCUGGAAGUUACGAAUGUAGCCUUUAAAGAAGGACCCCUGAAUCGAAUUGACGAUAACUUGAAUCAGGCCAAGAUGGUUCUCGUGGACAUCAAUUCUUCACGCAGACACUGUCUACAACAGUUGGGACAGAGAGGACUAUUUGUCCAUUGGGUAAAGGAAGCCCUCGAAGACAUCAAUGAGCUGAAGGUGUUUGUUGACCUGGCCUCCAUUUCCGCUGGAGAGAAUGACUUGGAUGUGGAUCGCGUUGCUUGCUUUCACGAUGCUGUCCUUGGCUACUCGCCACUGCUCUACGACCUCAAGAAGGACUCAGGGUUUCAAACCUUCAAGGAUGUGCUGAAGAAACUCUGGAGAGCUUUGGAGAAUGACAGUGACUUGCCCAAGAAACUGGUCGACACUGCACGCCAUCUGGAAUGGCUUAAGACGGUGAAGGAGAGUCAUGGCUCAGUGGAACUCUCCUCUCUUUCUUUAGCAUCCUCCAUCAACACCAAGGGCACCUAUGUGAUCAGUGCACGUAACGUAAAGAGGUUGAGCCUUGACACGGCCUUGAAGCUGCGGAUUCCAGAGGAGCACGACGAGGGUCAGGAAAUGCGCUGGUACACGCUUGAAGACCUACGGGAGCUCCAGAACAAACUCAUGCUCAUGUCUGGGAAAGACCAGGGCCAGCAUGAGGUGGACCACUUUGCAGAGGUCUUUGCCAAUGUCCAAAGACUAGCUGAGGCUUUCAUUGCGUUGUACACAGCUGGGAACCCUCUAUUCAGAAGCUGGGAAGCGUACAUCAAUUGCAGCUUCAGCAAUGAAGCGUCCAGUAUCAUUAUUGACUUCAACCUUGACAAUGUGUCUGAUGUCAUUGCCGUGGAUGGAAAAAUUGACAUUCAGCUUCCCGAGUUGUGCAAGAAAAUUGAGAAGUGCCUCAAUUAUUGGAAGGACUUUGUGGACAAGCAAAGAUCCCAACAUUACUACCUUAACUAUUACACAGCUGAACAGAUUGUAUACCUGUGCAGUAAGCUAUCUCCGCAAAAUGUGGCUGAUUUGGAGGUUGAGGUUUUAAUGAUGCUCUCUUUUGUCAAGCCAAAUUGUACUGCAAAAGAUCUGAGAGAGGUCUGGCAUGCACUCCAGUACGAUAUCCUCACCAACCAAGAAGAACCAAACCUAGACAUUGAAUUUCACACUUUUGUUGAAGUGCCAGAAAAUUUGAUGGGGGAUUCCUCAAUCACAGGGGACUGGGUUCUUCUCAUGGAAAAGACAAAUUGUUCCCAAAAAUUUGAUUUACUCUGGAAUAGUUACAUGAAGGACAUGAGGGGUUUUCUUCCACAUAUUCUCGACAUAAAAGGCCUCGGUAAAUUAUUGGAAAAACUGGCCAACAAACGAAGCAAAGGGAAUUCGUUCAUAACAAGAGUAAUGCCGAAUGGCCUGACUACUGGGAAUCCCAACCUCAUUGUCUGCUCACAGGAAGAGGUCUUCAACACUUGCCUCUCCAUUUACAUGAGCGAUGAAAAUGAGGCGCUGCCCACUUAUGACGAAGUCCUACUAUGCAACUCCUCAACAUCUUAUGAACAAGUGGAGCUGUUCCUGAGACGCUGUCUCACCCCUGGCUAUAGCGGACGAAAGAUCUACACUCUGCUCUACGGUGACCUUCUGACCUACGACGUGAGCUCCAAAGUCGAGGGUUUCUUCCAGCGUAUGAAACUGCAACGGAGGGAGCAUUACAGACUAGUCAUGGUCUGCAGCUCAGAGCGUGAACAUGCAUAUAUUCCCUCGGCCUUCAGUCAAUACCGCUUGCACAUGGUCCCUCAGGAGCCUACAGCCAGGAUUCAGAGUUACCUGAGCAGUCACUAUCGUGUCCCCGCAGAUGAGUGCAGCGCUGCAGCUGUGUUCAGAGACCGACUCUCUGUUGGAGUUGUGUCAUCGGAGAGAGCUGGCGUGGGUAAAUCCCUCUAUGUGAAGAGACUACAUGGGAAACUGAAGCGAUCGAGCAAAAAGCCAUCAGUGUUAAAAUGCAUUCGCUUGAUUGAACCAAAGGUUGACGAGAAUUCCAUCCUUCAGUCUCUGCUGGAAAGCACCAAGAAAAGUGAUUUGACAAUAUUCCAUUUAGAUGUCACGUCAUCGGUCCGGAAAGGCCUUCAAGACUUUUUAUUUAAAUUGCUGAUCCUUCGUUAUCUGAUGGACUCUGAGGGGAUGAUGUGGAAGUGCUGCAACAAGCAGUUGUAUCUCGUUGAAAUCUUGAGAUCAGCAAUAAAACUCCCCAGUAAUGUUUCACGUCAGAGCCAAACUAUGGACGGCUCGUUCAUAGAUUGGUUUCCUAACAUCUUCUGCCGACCACCUAAAGAAGUGUUGAUGCUAGAGAUGAAGAAGAACGAGGUUCCUGCCCUCUUCAACAUUGACGAGCCACUGAUGGACGAUGAAGAAUUCAGGAGUGAAGCCUUCCAAAGGCCAUAUCAAUACCUCACACAAUUCCAUAACCGCAGAGAUCUCGACACCUUCAAAUACAAUGCUGUUGAAGGGUCACACGUGGAGUGUCUUCAAAUGCUCCUCAUGUUCUGUGGAGUCAUGGAGCCCUCAUGGGCAGAGAUCAGAAACUUUUCCUGGUUUCUAAACCUCCAGCUAAAAAACUGUGAGACAUCUGUUUUUUGUGACUUUGAUUUAGUUGGUGACACUCUGAAAGGAUUCAAGAGCUUCGUUGUUGACUUCAUGAUUCUAAUGGCGAAGGACUUUGCCACACCAUCACUCAGCAUCUCUGACCAGAGUCCUGGAAGACUUCAGUUUGACGCGAGUGGCCUGCGUGAAGAGGAUUUGGCCCCUUUUCGGAUCAGGAAGCGAUGGGAGUCAGAAUCACACCCAUACAUCUUCUUCAACGGUGACCAUGAGUCCAUGACCUUCAUUGGCUUCCAUCUUCAGCCUAAUGUAAAUAACUUUGUGGAUGCCAUCGACCCCACUUCCAAGAGGAUAAUAAAGAAAGACAUCAUGACUAAGGAGCUGUUUGAUGGCCUAACGUUACAGAGAGUUCCGUUCAACAUCAACUUUGAUCAACUACCAAGAGGGGAAAAGAUUGAAAGAAUCUGCAAUGUCCUUGGAAUCCAGUGGCCCCUUGAUCCCGACGAAACAUAUGAGCUCACAACUGACAACAUCCUCAAAAUUUUGGCAAUCCACAUGCGAUUCAGGUGUGGCAUCCCUGUCAUUAUUAUGGGCGAGACAGGUUGUGGCAAGACUAGGCUCAUCAAAUAUCUGUGUGAAUUGCAAAGAUGUGGAGUGGCUACCGAGAACAUGAAACUGGUCAAAGUCCAUGGAGGAACAAGUUCAGAUAUAAUCUACACCAAAGUCAGAGAAGCUGAAGCGAUAUCUUUGACAAACAAAGAAAACUAUGGCUUUGAUUCUGUCCUGUUCUUUGAUGAGGCAAACACAACAGAGGCUAUCAGCAGCAUCAAGGAGAUCAUUUGUGACCAUACCGUGAAAGGUGAAAGUUUGACACCCAACUGUGGAUUGCAAAUAAUAGCAGCAUGCAACCCUUAUCGAAAACACACAGAGGAAAUGAUUACAAAACUAGAGUCUGCUGGCCUUGGUUAUCGAGUCCGAGCUGAGGAGACGGAUGAAAAGCUUGGUUCCAUCCCACUCCGCCAAUUAGUUUACAGAGUUCAGGCCUUGCCACCAAGUAUGAUUCCUCUGGUGUGGGAUUUUGGACAACUGAAUGACAACACAGAGGAAAUUUACAUUCAACAGAUUGUGCAGAGAGUAGUUGGACUCAAAGCAAUCAAUGGAGAAUACAUCAAGAUCAUCUCAGAUGUCCUUGCAGCUUCUCAGAGAUAUAUGCGAAAAAGAAAAGAUGAGUGCAGCUUCGUCAGUCUGCGGGAUGUGGAGCGCUGCAUGCAAGCCUUCAUCUGGUUCUAUGAGAACCACGCCAUGUUCUUCACGGAACUUGAACAAUUUGAGCCAAAACAGCGGGAGCUGAAGAAUGAAGUACCGCAGAGAGACAGAGCGGUUCGAGACCCUGUCCUUUGGUCUCUGAUCAUGGCUGCAGGGGUCUGCUACCAUGCCUGCUUGGAAAAAAAAGAGAAAUACAGACAGAAUAUCUGUAAAAAGAUGAACUGCACCCCCGUCAGAGUAAUGCAGGAAAUCUCACUUAUGCAGGAUCUACUUUUAAGUGGGGUGCCUAUGGGAGAAACAAUUGCAAAAAACAGUGCACUCAAAGAGAAUGUCUUCAUGAUGGUCCUAUGCAUUGAACUUAGGAUUCCCCUAUUUUUGGUUGGAAAACCUGGAAGUUCAAAAUCUCUCUCCAAAACUCUUGUGGCAGAUGCAAUGCAAGGCCAAGCAGCUCACAGUGAGCUCUUCAAAAAGUUGAAACAAAUCCAUUUGGUGUCCUUCCAGUGUAGCCCUCAUUCAACCCCAGAGGGCAUCAUUAACACAUUCAAGCAAUGUGGUCGUUUCCAAGAAGGCAAGAACCUAAAUGAGUACAUUUCUGUUGUGGUAUUGGAUGAAAUUGGGUUGGCCGAAGACUCUCCUAAAAUGCCGCUCAAAACACUUCAUCCUUUACUAGAGGAAGGGUGCAUUGAUGAUGAACCACUGCCUCACAAGAAAGUUGGUUUUAUCGGCAUUUCCAACUGGGCUCUUGACCCUGCAAAGAUGAACAGAGGCAUCUUUGUCUCACGCGGUGACCCUGAUUUGACAGAGCUCCUUGAGAGUGCAAAAGGCAUAUGCUCAUCUGAUGCAAUGCUCCUGGAGGCGGUAAGAGAUCUCUUCCAGCCCUUUGCGCAGGCCUACUUGAAUGUCUGCCAAAAUCAAGGAAAGGGCUUCUUUGGUCUACGUGACUACUAUAGCUUGGUCAAGAUGAUUUUUGCAAUAACCAAAGGUACUCGACAGAAGCCCAGUGGGUCGAAAAUUGUUGAGGCAGUGUUGAGGAACUUCAGUGGCAAAGACAAUGACAACGUACUCUCUGUUUUCACUGGUAGGCUUAAAAUCGCACCCAAUCUUGAGAGCAUUGACGUGACUGAGCUUGUGAGACAGAACAUUUUGGCGAGCGGACAGGAAGAGUGCAGAUACUUGCUGGUUCUGACUAAGAAUUACGCUGCCCUGCAGAUCUUGCAGCAGACCUUCUUCUCAGAAAGCGAUCAGCCUGAAAUCAUCUUUGGCUCCAGCUUCCCAAAAGAUCAAGAGUACACCCAAAUAUGUCGCAACAUCAACCGAGUGAAGAUCUGCAUGGAAACGGGGCGCACCGUUAUCCUCCUGAACUUGCAGAACCUUUACGAAAGUCUCUAUGAUGCUCUUAACCAGUACUACGUCUAUCUCGGAGGACAAAAAUACGUAGACCUUGGACUCGGAACCCAUCGUGUCAAAUGCAGGGUGCAUCAGGACUUCAGACUCAUCGUCAUCGAGGAAAAGGAGGUUGUCUACAAGCAGUUCCCAAUACCACUCAUCAACCGGCUAGAGAAGCACUACCUGGACAUCCACACUGUCCUCAAGAAGGAGCAGAAGAGUACUGUGAAGAAGUUGGAAAGAUGGGUGGAGCAGUUUGUUUCUCUCAGCAAACAACCCACAGUGGGGCCUCAGACGUACAAGUACCAAGCACCAGACGUCUUCAUCGGCUACCAUUCGGACACAUGUGCUUCAGUGAUUCUUCAAGCGAUUGAAAGGAGCAGGCAGGAUCUGGAAACAUCUGAAACAUCCGAAGCAGAUAUACUGCGAGCAUCUGAACUGGUGCUGCUGAACUGUGCCACACCUGACUCAAUAGUGCGCCUAGAUUGCACAAUGCUCCCAAAGGUCGAAAGUGAAAGACUGUCUCAAGUGUACUUUGAAGAGCAGAAUACCAGUUGUUUGGCUGACUACAUCCUUGCUCACAUGAACCAGGAUACCCAUUGGCAUGCCUCCUUCACUGAGGUGACUACUUUCUCCAGGCUUCUCACAGCCUCAGACUUGGAACAACUGGAGCAGUUACCUCAUGCUGUGGAGCUGUUAUCCCUGCAGCAGUUUGAAACAGAGCAGUCUUUCCUCAAGAAGAUCAGGUUUAUCCUCAUCAUUCAGAGUGAUUUUGAUGAAGCAUCUCACAGUGCACAUCUUAUUGCAUCUGCAAAGUAUUCAUCCCUGAAUGAAAUGAACAAGAUCACACAAGCUAUUGUGGAGAACAAUAUAUUUGUCUACUUCAUCACCAAACUGCCAAGGAUGGAAGGGGGAACUUCUUACGUUGGCUUUCAUGGAGGGCCAUGGAAAUCGGUUCAUAUUGAUGACCUGCGGAAAUCCGAGGAUAUCGUAGCAGAUAUCAAGGCUCUGCGAAACCUAACAAUCAGUGAACUGUUUGACGAAAACCGAACUAAGCCCGAAGGUAAAAAUGUGCGAUGUGCCUGUAUACCUUUCGCCAUUCAACAAUAUUUUUUUCAAUAUCUCAUGAAAUGUUUUGAUUGUUUACAGCAAUGGAGCAGGAUGAAAUGUAUUCUGAUGGAUUCCAACACAUCACAGAAGUUGAAAACCAAUUGCUGUGUGCAGAGUGCAGUGGGCCUGCUGAGGGACCAAGUAGAGAACGGCUACCGCACCUCUUUAAGAUUUAAUUUAUAUGUGCAGACUUCUGUCAACUGGGUGAUAAAGGAGGCCUCAAAUAUUGAUGCCUUGCAGGAAGGAGGAACAUUCAGGCACACACUAUGGAAGCGUAUCCAGGCGGUUGUCAUUCCUUACCUAGCCCAGCUGGUCUCCGUCAUCGACCGAGAUCAAAAUCUGGACAUUUUGCUUGACACCAACUGCAAUGAGCCUCUCAAGACAUUGUGGCUUGACAUCUUUGGCGCAGAGAAGCUGUUGGAAGUGCCAUCCUCUGCGACAAGAAGCAUCCUGGUGCAAAACUGCUUUGCUCUAGACAAGAACCUCAGCUGCAUCAUGCCCUUCAGCUGGAGGAUAAAGGACUACCUGGAGGAGCUCUGGGUUUAUAGUCAGUUUGAUGAGUUCUUCUGGAGGACUCCCCUCGGUCGAUCCAUCGCGAAAGCAAGCCCGGAGAUGCAGUCCGAGUUUUUCCAGCGAUACCUACAGGACUUUAUCUCCAUGACGAUGAAUGUCAGGUCCCAGGAAAACCUUCAGGUUAUCCUUCGCAGAGCUCUGAACUGCUGUGUUAAUGAGAUGCAGUCGCGGGCAAUGGAGACUGAUAAGGAGGGGACCUCUCUUCCCUGGGUCCAUGCUGCCUACCACGAGUUUAAGAACCGAUUGCAGAACUUCGCCAGGAUGGUCAACCUUGAGCCGAGGAUUACCCAGGUCCUCCUGAACCAGCAAGCUCAGGAAGGGGCAGAGUUGGUUCUUGAUAUCUAUGCUGCAAUAGCCUGCGUUGAGUAUCUGGAACCCACGCAACUGGAAACUGAUGGGCAGAGGCAAGCCUGGCUGAGACAGGUGAAAAAGCUCCAGGUUCCCAUUGAGUUGAUAUGCUCUCAAGACAGUUCUACUUCUUAUAAUGUUCUUAUGUUUAGGAAUGGGUGGAACCGCAUUUUUACCAUGUCGCUGUUUGUGGAGCACAUGUUGCUGGGUGAUGAGGAGGCCGAGAUGAAUCUGAAGCCUUUGGUUCUGGACCACAUGAGAGUUCUUGGGCAGAUCCUGGAGAGGAAUUCAGACCUAAAAGAGCGGCAGGCGUUUGAGGAGGUGAUUGGUGUACUCAAAGCCUGCAAAGAUAAAGUGGUAGAGGGCAUCUUCAGGUUUGGCCCCCAACGGUGCCCUGUGUGUAUGAUGGACCCUCAAGAUCCCCUCAGCCUGCCCUGUGACCACAUCUACUGCGUGGCCUGCAUCAAAAAAUGGCUGGGCCCUGGUCAGAUGUACUGUCCCUUAUGCAUGCAGCCUGUCCCUGAAGACUUCUCCACAACGCCUUCGGAGGAAUUAAGGUUUCAAACCAAUCAACAUGCCAAGUUCAGGAAGCAGUGCAAUGCUUUCUUCAUAGACCUGGUUUCCACCAUGUGCUUCAAGGACAACACCCCGCCCUGUUCAGCCAUCGUCCUCCAUCUGCUGUCAUUCCUCAUGCUGGAGGCCAAACCCCUCCCCAUAUUUAGAGGGGAUCGACAAAUUCUGACCAAGGUCCUCUCGCCGUUUGACGAGUCUGUGGACAAAAACCCAGUGGUGCGCUCCUUUGUCCUCAAACUGCUGCUGAAGUUCAGCUUUGAGCAGGUGAAAGGCUACCUGCAGCAGCAUCUGACCGAAGUGGAGAAGAGCCUCAUCUUGGAACCGACUGAUAAAACCGAACUGUACUCCAUGUACAUUAACUGCCUGGAGGUAUGCAUGGGGGCAUACAUCUGCUUUGAAUUGUUUCACCUUGGUUUUAUUUUUGCCUGUUUGUAUGCUUUUCAAUCAAUAUUUGUUUUAUUCCCACCCCUAAUCCGUCUCAUUUAUUAUGCUGGCGUUCUCUUCAAUGUUUUACUUCCUGGACGCCGUGGUGAAGCUGUGCAUUCAGAGCAACAACGACUGGUUCCGCGUCUACCUGAUCCGCAAGAUCUGCACUCAACAGGGCGUGGAGUUUGUCCAGAGUCUCCUCAAAGUGGAGGCUGUGCACUGACGUGCAAGUGCUUGCCACAAACGAAGGCGGUGUAUCUUCUGUUGGCCCUCUUCAGAGAAGUCACCUCUCUCUACGGAAAUGCCAACGCUAGUCGCCAUCCCACACCCGAGCAAUGCCGAGUCUUGGUGACUCACAUCGAUGCUUGCGGACUCCUGCAACGCGCCGAGAUGAAGAACUUUGCGAAGGCCUUGGUGGCCAACCGUCUGGGGCCCUUGGCCGCCGUCCCCGGGGCCCCCGGGGGUCACUGUGCGGUGGUGGAGCUGACGGUCCACAUGGCCUCGGUCCUUCUCUGCGCCAACCAGAGGAUCCUCGUUCCCCUUCAGAACCUGGCCCUGUCAACAGGGAACAUGCAACGAGCCUUCCUGCCCACCAUGCCAGAGGACAUGUUGUUUGUAGCUCAACAGGCCAUGGGAGCGUGUGGUCAACCCAUGGAACAAAGCCGUUGUCCGGACUGCGGCGCGGCCAUCGGAGGAAACGAGCACAGACCUGUGGCUGGAUUCACUGCUGCUCAAGCAGCGGGCGACCGCACCCAGACGGGCCAUGUCCUCGGAGACCCGGUGCGCAGGGACAACCCGGACACCCUGGACACCAAGAACAUGUCCCCGGGGCCCUUCACCCUGGUGCGCAUGCUCACCCACAUGGCCAUGCUGUAUGGAGCCAGCAUCAACCCACAGCUCAUCGCUCAGAUCAUCAAACCUCCGGUGGCUAAUCCAGGAGCCUUCCUGUUGGCCCACCUGCUGAAGGACAUGGAGCAUCUGACCAAGUCUCUGGGGAAGGGGACGGACGACACCAUCCACACGGUUCACCUGUUGCUCUGCGGCCUGCUGGAGCCUCACCAGGUUCAACAAUGGCCCGAUCCUUACGACAACCAUCUCUCCACCAAAGACCACAGGAACGGCUGGGAGAUGUCCGUCAGCAACACCAUCAUCAUACCUCAACUGAAGCACCUGGACAGACGGCUGAAGGAGGCCAACGACCUGGUCCGGGCCGACGCCCGUGUGUCCUGUGACCCCGUCUUCAAGCUGAUGUUCGGGGACCCGCGCCUCUUCCUGGCCUCCCUGCGCCGCGGCUCCCUGAUCCACGGCCAGGCGGUGUGGAGCUGCAGGGAGGAGCUCUCCCUGCUCAGCCUCACGCACAUCGUGGAGCAGCACGACGGCAAAGACACGCUGCCCCUCCUCUGGAGGUUCCUCCAGAGGGAGGCGGAGCUGCGCUUCGUGAAGUUCCUUCCAGACAUCCUAACACUCCAGAAGGACCUGGUGAAGAAGUUCCAGAACAUCAGCGACCUGCCCUUCAGAACUAUCGGCGACUUCCUCAACAGUCAGAAACCAGUGUUACUCAGAGGUUGGUACGAGAGAUGCAUCACCAUCUUCCUGGCCACCUGGAAUAAACUCAGGGCUUCCUUGGCAACAAAUGGAGAGAUUAAGAUCCCGGCAGAGCUGUGCGAAGAAGACCUGGACAUGGACAGUGACCUCACGGUGCUGUUGCCACGGAGACAGGGCCCAGGGCUGUGCUCUACAGCCCUGGUCAGCUACCUGAUCGCCCUGCACAACGAGAUCAUCAAAUGUGUGGACAAGCACACCGGAGAACACACCAGCUACGAGGUGAGCCCCGCCGACCUGACGGACCAGCAGGUGAUCCGCUACGAGCUGGACCAGGAGCUGAUGCCGCUGGUGCUCGCCAACAGCCAGUACAGCCUGGAGCGAGGCAAGGAGACGCUGCACGAGUACGACCUGGCCAAGAUCCAGCAGCAGGUCCUCACCCACUUCCUGCAGGGCCGGCCAAUCAUCACCCUCCAGGGCAUUCCGACCCUGGUGAACAGACACGAGCGGGACUACGUGAUCAUUCUGAAGGACGUCAAAGAGAAAGUGGAGCAGGUGAGAGGACCCCUGAUGGCGUCCUGCCUGGCGGCGGAGCUGCAGUCGUACAGCGAGGUGUGCGAGGCCCUGACCACGGUGGAGGUGGCCCUGGGCUUCCUGGCCAUGACGGGGGGGGACCCCCACAUGCAGCUGUCCUGUUACCUGGAGGAGGUGCUGCAGAUGAAGGACCAGACGGCCCCCCACGUCCUCAAGGUUAGCCCGUCGGCCCUGACUGUGUGCCGGCUGAGGCACUGUGUGGCCCUGUGGCAGCUCCUCACCUCGCUCAAGUCCCAGAACAUGAUGCGGCUCAAGAGGGAUCCGUUCGCGGCGUUCCCCGGGGCCUACAAGCAGCCUCUGAGCGACGAGGAUCGCAGGCUGCUGUCAGGGUUCUUUGUGAAGCCCGUCGCCGAAGGCUUCCUGCUGGAGAUGCACGAGUUCCUCGUGCUGGAGCUGAAGAACCCCCACGCCCCUGACAAGUACCGACCGGCCUGGGGGCUGAGAGACACGGUGGUGUCCUACAUUGAGCGCAAGGACCUGGAUGUUUCUCCUGAGGUGGAAGACUUGUUCCCAGAAGAGAUCUGCCUCUCUCACUUCAUCGAAGCGUGGAAGUUCAGUGUGGUCUUCAAACAGGAGAACAGCAGUCAGAGAUCUUGAUGUUGACAUGAUCGAUCAGGGAGAUCUGUCCUAGAACAGCUCAGAUAAUGUUUACAUUCUAUUUUGAUAA